rnacentral:lncRNA from 1 species
CUGUACAUUGGGAAAGGUGCCGAAGACAUGAACUUUGGUCUUCUCUGCAAUCCCUCUGGAGCAUUCAGUGACAACGUCGACUUUGAAGUUGCACUGACCUGGCCAGCCCUGCCACUUACCAGGUUGGGCUGUGGCUUGCCUUUUCACUUCUUGUGUCCUGUUUAAGAAAUAUCUGCUAUCCCAAGAUAACACUAACAAAGUUGACCUUAGAAUUGGAGUGCCCGGGUUAGAACCUUGCUGGUACCACCUGCUUACUGCAUGCUUCUGAUGUGAGUUCAGGAGAAGCCACUGGCAAGGACAGCAAAGAACAGGAGAACACUCUAGCUUCCCUGAUAGCAUUCAAGGUGCUGUCCAAAGCUCUUGAGUUUCUGCUUUCAAGUGACCCUCAGAAAUGCCCCCAUUCACUGCAGAGGUUCUGUUUCUCCUUGUUUUGUUCCGACUUUAUGGCAGAACUAGGUUAAUGAGUUAAUUACUAUGAGUUAUCACUUGGAUUUGAAGAACCAUCAUUUCUAGGCUUUGCUGCUCAGAGUGGGUUUGCCCUCAGGGGAAGCUAUCUAACCAGAGCCUAACCCACUAGGGUUUUAUCAGAACCUAACUGGCCUGAGGAAAAGAAAUAUUCAACUCCAGCAAGCUCCAGCCUUCCAAACGGAGGAGGAGAAAACCCAAAUCCAGCCCACUUCAGCUAUCUUGUCCCACAUAAAGGGGGAGUGGAAGAAACGUGAGAAGCAGGCAUGAAGUUCACAGUCCGGAGGUACAGACACAUCAGAGUUCAGUAUCUGAUGAAUUAGAUGCAAAAUCCUCAACAAAGUAUUAGCAAAUUGAAUUCAACAAUGUAUGAAAAUUAUUACAUGCCAUGACUAAUUGGAAUUUAUCUCAGGUAUACAAGCCAUGCUGAACAUCUGAAAAUCAAUUCAUGUGAUCCAUCACAUUAGCAGAUUCAAGAAAAAAAAAACCACAUUAUCAUAUCAGUAGAUGUA